AUUGAACGCUGGCGGCAGGCUUAACACAUGCAAGUCGAGCGGGGGAAGGUAGCUUGCUACCGGACCUAGCGGCGGACGGGUGAGUAAUGCUUAGGAAUCUGCCUAUUAGUGGGGGACAACAUCUCGAAAGGGAUGCUAAUACCGCAUACGUCCUACGGGAGAAAGCAGGGGAUCGUCGGACCUUGCGCUAAUAGAUGAGCCUGGGUCGGAUUAGCUAGUUGGUGGGGUAAAGGCCUACCAAGGCGACGAUCUGUAGCGGGUCUGAGAGGAUGGUCCGCCACACUGGGACUGAGACCCGGCCCAGACUCCUACGGGAGGCAGCAGUGGGGAAUAUUGGACAAUGGGGGGAACCCUGAUCCAGCCAUGCCGCGUGUGUGAAGAAGGCCUUAUGGUUGUAAAGCACUUUAAGCGAGGAGGAGGCUACUCUAGUUAAUACCUAGGGAUAGUGGACGUUACUCGCAGAAUAAGCACCGGCUAACUCUGUGCCAGCCGCCGCCGUAA
rnacentral:rRNA from 1 species